rnacentral:rRNA from 1 species
GGGGUAAAAUUAAUAAAGUAUAAUUAAUAAAAAAAUUUUUGAAAUUAAAAAUAAAUGGGGGUUAAAGUAUUUUUAAUAGAAAAAAAUUUAAAAUUUUAUAGAAAAUUAGUAUUGUAAGAGAAUUUUGAAAUAAAUGAAAAUUAAUUAAUUUAAAAGUAAAUUUAAUUUAUUGUAUCUUGUGUAUCAGAGUUUAUUUAUAAAAAUUUAGUUAGAGUUAAAAUUCUCGAAUUAAAAAGAGAUAAUUAGUUAAAAAAGUUAUUGUAGCAAAAAUAUUUUUAAUAAUUAAUUUGAAAUGAAAUGUUAAUCGUUUUUUAAGAUAUCUAGUUUUUUUAGAAAAAAAUUUAAUUUUGUAUUUUUUUUUAAAUAAAAAAUUAAUUAAUUAAUUUUUUAUUUAAAAAAAUAUAAUAUUUUAAGGGAUAAGCUUUAAAAUAAAAAAUUAUAAUAAAAUUUAUAUUUAAUAUUAAAAAUUUUAAGAUUUAUAUUGUUUAUAAAUUAUAAUUUAUUAAAAAUAAUUUUAAUAAAAAUAAAAUUUAAUUUUAUUUAAUUUUUUAUAAAAAUAUAAUUUUAAAUUAAAUAAAAUUAGUUAUAAUGAUAAAAUUAGUAUAUAUAUAUAUGUAAUUAUUUAUAAUUAAAGUUAAUAUAAAAAGUGUUAAAAUUAAUUAAAAGGAAUUCGGCAAAAAUUUAUAUUCACUUGUUUAUCAAAAACAUGUCCUUUUGAAUUAAUAAUCUAAGGUCUAAUCUGCCCACUGAUAAUUAUUAAAGGGCUGCAGUAUAUUGACUGUACAAAGGUAGCAUAAUCAAUAGUCUCUUAAUUGGUGACUUGUAUGAAUGAUUUGAUGAAAUAUAAACUGUCUCUUUUUUAUUAAGUAGAAUUUAAUUUUUUAAUUAAAAAGUUAAAAUGAAUUUAAAAGACGAGAAGACCCUAUAGAGUUUUAUAUAUAUAUUAAUUUAUAUAAAAUAUUUAUUUUGAUAUUAAAAUUAUUAUAUAUAUUUUAUUGGGGUGAUAGAAAAAUAAAAAUAACUUUUUUUAUAAUAUUACAUUAAUAAGUGAAUAAAUGAUCCAAAAUUUUUGAUUAUAAGAAAAAAUUACCUUAGGGAUAACAGCGUAAUUUUUUUUUCUAGUUCAAAUAGGAAAAAAAGUUUGCGACCUCGAUGUUGGAUUAAGAUAAAAUUUAAAUGCAAAAGUUUAAAAUUUUGAUCUGUUCGAUCAUUAAAAUCUUACAUGAUCUGAGUUCAAACCGGUGUGAGCCAGGUUGGUUUCUAUCUUUAAAAAUAAUUAAAUAUUUUAGUACGAAAGGAUUAAAUAUUUAAAUUAAAUUUUUAUAAUUGAAUGUUAUUAAAUAUUAAUUUAAAAUUUUAAAAUUAAAUAAUAUAAGUAAGUA